CUUGAAACACGGACCAAGGAGUUUAUAGUGUGCGCGAGUCUUAAGGUAAUUAAACCUAAUAGGCGAAAUGAAAGUAAAAGUAAAAUUUUAUUUUCUAAAGGAAGAUGUGCAAUUUAAAAAAAAAAAUUGCAUCGCAUUCCUGGGGCGCUUUAAAUUCUUAAUUGAAUUGAGGCGCACCAAUAGCGUACACAAUAAUACCCGAAAGAUGGUGAACUAUGCCUGGCCAGGACGAAGCUAGGGGAAACCCUGGUGGAGGUCCGAAGCGAUUCUGACGUGCAAAUCGAUCGCCGGAGCUGGGUAUAGGGGCGAAAGACCAAUCGAACCAUCUAGUAGCUGGUUCUCUCUGAAGUUUCCCUCAGGAUAGCUAACGCUUAUGAUACAAAGAAUCUCAUCCGGUAGAGCGAAUGAUUAGAGGUAUUGGGGUCGAAACGGCCUCAACCUAUUCUCAAACUCCAAAUAGAUGAGAACCCCGGCUUUCUUAAAAGUGAAGCCGUGGGAAUUUUUGUGGAUCAGAGCAUUAAGUGGGCCAAUUUUGGUAAGCAGAACUGGCGCU
rnacentral:rRNA from 1 species